rnacentral:rRNA from 1 species
GACGAACGCUGGCGGCGUGCUUAACACAUGCAAGUCGAACGGAAAGGCCCUGCUUUUGUGGGGUGCUCGAGUGGCGAACGGGUGAGUAACACGUGAGUAACCUGCCCUUGACUUUGGGAUAACUUCAGGAAACUGGGGCUAAUACCGGAUAGGAGCUCCUGCUGCAUGGUGGGGGUUGGAAAGUUUCGGCGGUUGGGGAUGGACUCGCGGCUUAUCAGCUUGUUGGUGGGGUAGUGGCUUACCAAGGCUUUGACGGGUAGCCGGCCUGAGAGGGUGACCGGCCACAUUGGGACUGAGAUACGGCCCAGACUCCUAAGGGAGGCAGCAGUGGUGAAUAUUGCACAAUGGGCGGAAGCCUGAUGCAGCAACGCCGCGUGCGGGAUGACGGCCUUCGGGUUGUAAACCGCUUUCGCCUGUGACGAAGCGUGAGUGACGGUAAUGGGUAAAGAAGCACCGGCUAACUACGUG